UACGGAAGGCAGCAGUGGGGAAUAUUGCACAAUGGGCGAAAGCCUGAUGCAGCUAUGCCGCGUGUAUGAAGAAGGCCUUAGGGUUGUAAAGUACUUUCAUCGGGGAGGAAAAACAAAACUAAUAAUUUUAUUUCUUGACGUUACCCGAAAAAGAAGCACCGGCUAACUCCGUGCCAGCAGCCGCGGUAAUACGGAGGGUGCUAGCGUUAAUCAGAAUUACUGGGCGUAAAGAGCACGUAGGUGGUUUUUUAAGUCAGAUGUGAAAUCCCUGGGCUUAACCUAGGAACUGCAUUUUGAAACUGAAAUACUAGAGUAUCGUAGAGGGAGGUAGAAUUCUAGGUGUAGCGGUGAAAAUGCGUAGAUAUCUGGAGGAAUACCUGUGGCGAAAGCGGCCUCCUAAACGAAUACUGACACUGAGGUGCGAAAGCGUGGGGAGCAAACAGGGAUUAGAUACC
rnacentral:rRNA from 1 species